rnacentral:misc_RNA from 1 species
AAGAAACAAGGACAGGUUGCUUAGCGAUGGUAAGGUUGAGAUUGGUGGAGUCCAAUAGAUGGAGGGUGGAUGAGGUUAAGCUUGAACAUAACCAUCUCUUUGAUCCUGAAAGGGUGCAAAACUCCAAGUCACACAAAAAGAUGGAUGCAGGGGUUAAAAGGAAAUUAGAGCCAGCAGUUGAUGUGGAAGUGCGAACAAUUAAGUUGUACAGAACUCCCGCUGUUGAGACAUCAGGCGAGGGAAGCUCAGAUGAGAGAGCAGCCAGCAGCCAGAUUGAUGGGUCCACACGUUUAAAACUCAAAGAAGGUGAUACCCAAGUCAUAUACAACUUCUUCUGUCGGAUGCAGCUUACGAAGCCAAACUUUUUCUACAUUAUGGAUUUUGAUGAUGAAGGGUAUCUAAAGAAUGUGUUUUGGAUUGAUUCCAGAUCAAGAGCGGCAUAUGCUUA